rnacentral:tRNA from 1 species
GCACCCGUAGUUCAACUGGAUAGAAUAUCUGGCUUCGAACCAGAGGGUUGCAGGUUCGAGUCCUGCCGGGUGCGCCA